ensembl:lncRNA
AGAUCCUAUAGCAAGACACAGGCUCAUGAAGGCAUGACGGUGAUGAUGAAUCCUCAUCGAAAGGACCAGGGCUCAUUGAAGCAGGAUGUUAUGAUGGAGAUCCUCAAUAGAAGACCCCACAGGGCUCAUGAACGAGAGGUAGAUCAUGAAUCCUCAUCGAAGGACCAGGGCUCAUGAAGCAGGUGUGACGGAAUGGAGACCUAUAGAAGGACACAGGGCUUCUCUUUUCCUCUGUUCUCUGCUGUUUCUCCAGCAUUUCCUGCAGUGUUUCCUUUGUUCUCACUUUAUGUUCUGUUCAUUCUAUGGGCCUUGUUGUUCAUUUUGGUGCUUCAUUCCCUUCAGCCUUUCAUUCCAUGUUGGAGUUCCAAGCAGUUUCCUCUGCUGCCUUGCCCUCCAUCUUGAUGUUUCUUGUAGUGCCCUUUUGGGCCUUGCCCCCCAUCCUGAUAUUUCUUGUAGUGCCCUUUUGGGCCUUGCCCCCCAUCUUGAUGUUUCUUGUAGUGCCCUUUUGGGCCUAGCCAUCCAUCUUGGUGUUUGCUGCAGUUUUCUCUUCAGCUUUGCCCUCCAUCUUGAUGUUCCUUGCAGUGUUCUUUUGGGCCUUGUCCUCAUCUUGAUGUUCUGCGUGAUGUUCUCUUGGGCCUUGCCAUCCAUCUUGAUGUUUUACGUGAUCUUUUUUUGGCCCUUGCCCUCCAUCUUGAUGUUUCAGCAGUGCUGUUUUGGGCCUUGCCCUCUGUUUUGCAGUUCCAUGCAGUGUUCUUUUAGGCCUUGCCCUACAUCUUGAUGUUGUAUGUGCCCUUUUGGGCCUUGCUCUCCAUCUUGAUGUUCCCUGCAGUGUUCUUUAUGGCCUUGCUCUAUUUUGCAGUUCUAUGCAGCAUUCUUUUGGGUCUUACUCUCUGUUUCAUUGUUCCCUUUGUUGUUCUCUUGGCUCUCCACGCUGUUUUCCCUUUGGCCUUUGUUCUUGGUGUUCCCUAUAAUGGUCUGUUUGCUGUUGCUUUUGCUUUGGCUUUCCCUUGGCUUUCCUUAUUGCUUUUGUCCUUGUCUUACCCUUGGCUGCUUGCUUUGCUUUUCUGUUGCAGUGUCUUUCUGUGGUUGUUCUGCUUGUCUUUGGGAUUAGAGAGAGAUAUCGUCUCUCAACACUCAAAACUCAGAAUCUACCGCGCCUACGACUCAUCUCGGAAUCUCCCGCGCCUACGACUCAACUCGGAAUCUACUGCGGCUACGUCUCAACUCGGAAUCUACGGCUACGACUCAACUCGGAAUCUGCCGCGCCUAGCCUACGACUCAACUCGGAAUCUGCCGCGCCUGAUACGACUCAUGCUGCGGAAUUCCUCCCCCGCGCCUACGACGUCAACAUCGGAAUCGUCCCGCGCCCUAAACGACUCAUUCUCGGAAAUGCCUCCCGCUGCGCUACGGACUCAAUCUCGGAAUCGGGUCCCGCGCCUACGACUCAUCUCUCGGAAUCUCCCGCGCCUACGACUCAACUCGGAAUCUCCCGCGCCUACGACUCAUCUCGGAAUCUACCGCGCCUACGACUCAACUCGGAAUCUACCGCGCCUACGACUCAACUCGGAAUCUGCCGCGCCUAGCCUACGUCUCAACUCGGAAUCUACUGCGGCUACGACUCAACUCGGAAUCUACUGCGGCUACGUCUCAACUCGGAAUCUCCUGCGGCUACAUCUUAACUCGGAAUCUACUGCGCCUACGACUCAACAACUCGGAAUCGUCCCGCGCUACGGGGACUCAACUCGGAAUCUGCCGCGCCUAACGACUCCCAUCUCGGACAUCUCCGCGCUACGACUCACUCGGAAUCUCCCGCGCCUACGACUCAUCUCGGAAUCUCCCGCGCCUACGACUCAACUCGGAAUCUACCGCGCCUACGACUCAUCUCGGAAUCUCCCGCGCCUACGACUCAUCUCGGAAUCUCUCGCGCCUACGACUCAUCUCGGAAUCUCCCGCGCCUACGACUCAUCUCGGAAUCUCCCGCGCCUACGACUCAACUCGGAAUCUGCCGCGCGCCUACGACUCAACUCGGAAUCCGCCGCGCCUAGCCUACGACUAACUCGGAAUCUCCUGCGGCUACGACUCACUCGGAAUCUCCUGCGGCUACGUCUCAACUCGGAAUCUACUGCGGCUACGACUCAACUCGGAAUCUACUGCGGCUCAACUCGGAAUCUCCUGCGGCUACGACUCAACUCGGAAUCUACUGCGGCUACGACUCAACUCGGAAUCUCCUGCGGCUACGUCUUAACUCGGAAUCUCCCGCGCCUACGACUCAUCUCGGAAUCUACUGCGCCUACGACUCAACUCGGAAUCUGCCGCGCCUACGACUCAACUCGGAAUCUGCCGCGCCUACGACUCAACUCGGAAUCCGCCGCGCCUAGCCUACGACUCAACUCGGAAUCUCCCGCGCCUACGACUCAUCUCGGAAUCUCCCGCGCCUACGUCAUAACUCGGAAUCUACUGCGCCUACAUCAUAACUCGGAAUCUACUGCGCCUACGACUCAUCUCGGAAUCUACCGCGCCUACGACUCAUCUCGGAAUCUCCCGCGCCUACGACUCAUCUCGGAAUCUCCCGCGCCUACGACUCAACUCGGAAUCUCCCGCGCCUACGACUCAUCUCGGAAUCUCCCGCGCCUAACGACUCAACUCGGAUCUCCCCGCGCUCUACGCCAAGCUCGGAAUCUCCCCGCGCUGCUACUGACCAUAUCUCGGAAUCUACUGCGGCUACGUCUUAACUCGGAAUCUCCUGCGGCUACGACCAACUCGGAAAUCGUCCCCGCGGCCUACGACUCAUCGUCGAAUCUACCGCGGCUACGACUCAACACUCGGAAUCUCCCGCGCCUAGGAAACCGACUGCAACUCCGGAUCUCCCGCCCUACGUCUCAACUCAGAAUCUACCGCGCCUACGUCUCAACUCGGAAUCUGCCGCGCCUACGACUCAACUCGGAAUCCGCCGCGCCUACGACUCAACUCGGAAUCUCCCGCGCCUACGACUCAACUCGGAAUCUACUGCGGCUACGACUCAACUCCGAAUCUACCGCGCCUACGACUCAACUCGGAAUCUCCCGCGCCUACGACUCACUCAGUAUCAACCUACCAAAACUACAAUAACAAACUACAUAAUCACUUGGAACUAACAGCCCUUCUAGUGCACCAUCCCCCACUUACCUGUCACACCUACCUUAGAUUCUGCUUCCCAAUCGCCUGCAGAUGAACAUUAAUGACACACCACAUAGCUUAAUUGUUUCUUUAUU